rnacentral:misc_RNA from 1 species
UCGUCUUAAAAUUAUCGUUUGGUUGACAAGAUGGAGUCAUGUUUGACUGUCGAGAAGGAGAUUGAAAAAGUCUUAAGUAAAUUUGGUUCUUUUAAUGAUCACACAUGGAAGACUUUGACGGAUUUAAUCGAUUACGUUCAGAGUUUAAAGAAUGAAUUGACUGACGGUUCACCAUGUUUCUCUUCGAUUCCACCCGAACACGAAAUUACUCCGGCUCAAGUCAUGGUGUUAACUCAGUGUGCGAAAAAAGUCAAAGACGUGGUUGCGAAAUUAGCAUCAGAACACAGAGAUCUUCAUGGAACCGUAUCUAAAGUCGGAAAAGCCGUCGAUAAGAACUUUAUAGCAGAUUUUGCUGCCACUAGUAACGAAGAAGUGUUCAGUAGUGCAGAGAACACUCAGCUAUUAAAUCAAGUUAUCAGUGAGCAUUUCUUACGACAGGGCAUGUUGGAUAUUGCCGAAGAAUUAAUUAGGGAAGCUGGUCUACAAAUAGAUAAUGACAAGAAAGAACCUUUUACUGAACUAAAUAGGAUAUUGGAUGCUUUGAAAAAACGUGAUUUAAAACCUGCUUUAGAAUGGGCAAGAUUGAAUAGAAAUAAACUUCAAGAACAAAAUAGUUCUCUCGAAUUUAAACUUCAUAGGCUUCACUUUAUUGAAUUACUACAAAAAGGAAUGAAACACCAGGAGGCUGCAAUAUAUUAUGCUCGUGAAAAUUUUCAGCAUUUAGCUUCUCAUCACGAAAAAGAGAUUCAAGUUCUCAUGGGAAGUUUGUUGUAUUUACGUCAAGGAGUUAAAAAAUCUCCUUACAACUACUUAUUGGAUCCCAUCCACUGGGCAGAAAUCUGUGACGUAUUCACAAGAGAUGCCUGUGCUCUACUUGGACUGUCCGUAGAAAGUCCACUGACCGUCUGUAUAAAUGCGGGGUGUAUAGCAUUACCGGCAUUAUUAAACAUCAAACAAGUUAUGCAACAGAGACAGGUUACGGGAGUAUGGAGUACCAGAGAUGAAUUACCAAUUGAAAUAGAUCUCGGACACAAAUGUCGCUUUCAUUCUAUCUUUGCAUGUCCCAUUUUACGACAGCAGAGUUCAGACAGUAAUCCGCCAAUGAGAUUAGUUUGCGGACAUGUGAUCUCGAGAGAUGCUCUCAAUAAACUUGCAAACGGCAAUAAAUUAAAAUGUCCGUACUGUCCGGUGGAGCAAAAUCCUGCCGACGCUCGUCUCAUCCAUUUUUAGUCACAUCUUCAUCCGAAUCCAGAGUGGCAUUUUACUUUCUUUCCUCCUGGAUUAAAUUGAAUACGUCCUUUUAAUUACAAACCUUAUCAGCAUCAUCCUUGGGAAAAAAUUACACUAAUCUGUUCCCAAGGAGACAAAGGAAAGUACAAAAAUUUUAUAUUUUAAACUGGAGAAGGGUUGAAGACGAGAAUAAAACACUUACUAGGA